GUGGCAUAUGGAGUUCCCAGGUCAGGGAUCAGAUCUGAACCACAGUUGCAACCUACACUGCAGCUAUGGUAAUGCCAGAUCCUUUAACCUACUGUAAUGGACCAGGGAUCGAACUUGUGUCCUGGCACUGCAGGAACUCCCCUGUACCAAGCAUUUUUAUAAAACAUUGCUCUUUCAAUUCUCUGAACAGCCCAUUAAUGUGUUCUUUGGCUGGUUUAAGAUCUAUCUUCUCCAGGCACAGCAAGGUUAGGAACUUGUCAGAAAUCACACAGCUCCUGAGUGGUAGAGCUGGGACUUCAACCAAAACAAUUUGAUUCCAGAGCUCAUACUCUUGAAUGCUGACCUAUACCUACCUGGUUUAGCCCUCCCAAACCCAAGACCUUAUUAUUGACUAUUAUUAUCAGAACUCUUUUCCAGGUGGAAACUAAAAGCUCAGAAAAGUAAUUUCCCCACAUAAACUAUAUGCAGAUCCAUUUGAAAUCUGUGCUCCUGGGCAAGUCGCUUUGCCCAUCUAUCCAUCCAUCCAUGCAUCCAUCCAUCAUCUGCCCAUUCAUUAAUUCAACAGGUAAUGGCAAGAGCUUAUUUUGUCCCAGAGACUGUCAUGUCCCUAGAGAUGAAAAGAUGUAUAAAAUAUGGCCCCUGCUCUUCAAGAACUCAUCAUCCAGCAAGGAAGGGAAACACCUAAACCACAAUUAGAAACAUGAUUGCAGGAUGAGAGGCACCUAAGAAGUCUAUAAAAAGAGCUCUGGGGACUUAGAGGAAAAAGUAUCCAAUUGCUUAGUGAAGUAAAGCAAGGAAAGCUCUAGAGAGGAGACAUCACAUCAAUAACUAUAUGCUCUCCAGGUAGAGAAAGGGUGGGGUUGUUUAGGCAGAGAGAGCAUCAAAGGCAACCCGUGAUAUAGUAUGGUAACAGCUCAGAUAGUGAGUGCCCAGCACCUGCUUUCAGGGCCCUGUUUAUAAUUCCCACCACUCUGUGAGGCAGGUACUUCUGUUUGGACCACUUUACCAAAGAGGAAACCCGGGCACAUAGAGAUCUUGCCUGUGUGCCUAGGAUCACACAGUAACUGGCCCAUGAUAACUCCAGAUGGCUAGUAAGGAAUCUAGUUGGAAUUCAACCCCAGGCAGUCUUGCUUCUGAGCCCAUACUCUCAGCCACUCUGCUCUGAGUGUUCAGGGGUGCAUGGCAGGUAAGGAGACUGGCCACAUAAGUAGGAAUUAGGUCCAAAAGGUCUUCUUUUCUUCAUAAGGCCUUAGAUGUUCGUGAUCUAAGGGUCCUGGACUUUAUGGAAUCCGUAAAAGUAAUAAUGCCAUUGUACAUUAUAUGUGUAUGUAGGUGUUUUUAUGAGUGCAGGUGUGUGUGUGUGUGUCAGAGAGGGCCAUCCAACUUUCUGUAUAACGAGGCCAUAAAGAGAAAUGGUGCAUCAACUUUCUUUGCCUUUGACUGGAACUCUAUCUGGUCGCUGUGAGGCUUCUGGGUGUCAUGUUCAGUGACAUUCUCUUGGCUUCAGGGCCAAGUAUCUGAAUUCUCAUUCCCUGUCUACAUCCCACACCAGACUGGAGAGCCCCUGAGGACAGAGCUCCCAUACUGUCCCCCAGUACGCAGCACAGUGCCUGGCACAAGCAGUUGCUUAGCAAAUAAAUUUGUUGAAUGAACGACUAUUUGUUGGAUGAACUCUGGGUCUUUGGUUAAUAAUUUAUGUAGAAAGCAAAUAAAUUAAUUGCGAGUUAACCAAUCUAGUUUGGUCAAUAAAAUCUUUCCCACUGUGCAAUCAAUGGGGUAGGAGGGAAGAACAUAAGGGUCUUUUGAAGAGGAACAAUGUUGGGAUUAUUGGUCUAGAUCAGUGGUUUUAAAAAGAAAGCAAAGCUGUACUUUUAAAACACUUGCCACCAGGGGUUUUGAUUCAGUGGAUCUGAGAUGGAGUGAGCUUCCCAGGUGAUUCUGAGAUGACCAAGUCAGUAGUACCUGGCUCUGGCAAGUACGGGUCCCUUUCUGUCCUAAUUUUUCCUUUUUUGUCCCCAUCUCACUCAGCUUGUGCUUGACACUUUGAGUAAUGGGAGCUUACCACCUCACAAGGCAGGCUGCCCAACCCAACAGCCAUACUGAUAAUAAGCACACCAGUACAGUGACCAUAUGUAGAGGUUUUUUUGUUUGUUUUUGUUUUUUUUUUUGUCUUUCUAGGGCUGCACCCAUGGCAUAUGGAGGUUCCCAAGCUAGGGGUUGAAUCUGAGCUACAGCUGCCAGCCUAUGCCACUGUCACAGCAACGCCAGAUCCGAGCUGCGCUGCUACCUACACCCCAGCUCACUGCAACCCAGAAUCCUUAACCCACUAAGGCCAGGGAUCAAACCUGUGUUCUCAUGGAUGCUAGUCAGAUUCGUAUCCACUGAGCCAUGAGGGGAACUCCUUCUUUUGGAUCAGAGGUACUAAGGUACAGAUGCUACUGAUUCUGGCGGCUAGGUAUUAUUUACCCCCAUUUUAUAGUGAAAGAAAGCCAAACUCCUGAGGUUUAGUGGUGCAUUCAAUGUCUCAGAGGGUGCAGGGCUGGGCCAGGAUUCCAGCCACCCCUGGUGGCUGGUUAGCCCACGUGCUUCCCCCCGGGCCUGGAGCAGGUCCCGGGGUGGGGGCGGGGUGACUCCUGGGAGGAGGGGAGGGAUCCCGGUCGCCACGUCGCCGGCCCUGCCUGGCUGCACACCGCGCUCCGCCCAGCCCUCGCGGGCCUCCCCAUAGAAGGUAAACCCAGGCAGGAUCCCAUGAGAGCUGGCGGGGCCUGGCGCCCCGCUGGUUUCAGUUUCUGAAGAGCCCAGCCCUGAGCAAACACGGGCUGGGAGGAGGGUUCUGGAAGCCUUCCCAACAGAUAGCAGAUUAACUCGCUGCUGCCUGGGAGCCACCCACGUGGGGACGGGCUGGGUCACCAGCAAGCGGCCUCCCUGGCAGGCAGACAGUCCCUGCGGGGGGCCGGUCGCCCCUGGCUGCCCAGAGCCACCCGAAGCCGGAGAAGGCACACGCUGACCCGCCAAGACGACCUCGGUGCCAGUUCCAGUCCGGCUCUGGCCGGGACCUCCAGGCUGGGUGACAAGGCUGAGGGACGGCCCCAACCCCACCCUCCAAAUAAGGACAGAUCUUCCUGCUUCAGCCUGCCUCUCCAGGGCGUUCCUGUUCCAACGUGUACGCAGAACGCUUAGAAUGUUUGUUUUCUUUCUGAGAAAGAGGCUGAGGGACAUGGCCAAGGCCGGCGUGAACUCCAAACCCAGGGCAUUCUCUGUCGGACAUUUUUCGGGCCAGACAGACUCGGGUCUGAAUACUAGUUCUGCCACUUCCUAUCCAGGAGACCUUCGUGUAAAUUUCUUCAUCUCUCUGAGCCUUAUUAUUCUCAUCUCUAAAAUGGGGAUAAUGCUACCUAUCUCUAAGAUAGGUUCUGUGGAGUCGAUUAGAUAGAUACAGAUUAUACAUAUUAAGUAUUUAGUGCCCUCAAUCAAUGCCAAUUAACAUUAUUAUUAAUUAUAUUGUUACUACAAAUGACUAAUAAUGACACUUAGGAUUAUUAUUACUAAUGCAACUGGGAGCAUGGGUGUAAAAAAAAUGGGCUCAAUUAAAAUUUUUUACUGAGGGAAAUAGUUUUAUGAGAGGUAAAUAAAGAUUGGAAUAACACUGGGUCGCGAGCACAUGAUCUCAUUUAGUAUUCAAACAGCUUCACAAGGCAGGUGUUAUUAUCCCCAUUAUACAGGUGAGGAAGCUGAGGCCCCUGGAAGUUAAGUAACUAGGCCAUGUCACACACUGUUCAUACCUGGUAUCCUGGCCUCCGGAGCUCUGUGAUGAUAUUCCCUAAGCCUUAGCUACCUCAAACUUCCCCACCUCAACAAAGGAAAACUCUGGAAAUGAUAAAAGUCACCUCCUUCAGGCUGCUUUCUUAAUUCUCUCUCUCCUCCCCUAGUAGAACAAACGCUCCCUCUUUUGUUCUCCUGGUGCGGGUAGCAUGUGACUACACACCCUUGUGGGCUGUCUCUCUUCUCCAGGGAGUGUGCUUCUCAGAGGCAGACACUGUACACUUUUUUGCAUGUUGGGAAGGUCUGUACGCUGUUGUUGUUAAGUACAGACUUAGGAGCCCAACUGCCUGGGCUCAAACCCUGGCUCAAAUCGUGGCUUUACUACUUGUUGGCUGUGGGCUUGAGUAAGAAACUUAAGUUCUCUCUGCCUCAUGCCCCUUAUCUGUAAAAUGGAAAUUAACACUAAAAACAGCCUCAUGGGAGUUCCCUGGUGGCCUAGUGGUUAAGGAUCUGGCCUUAUCACUGGUUCAAGUCACUGCUGUGGCAAGGGUUUGACCCCU
rnacentral:lncRNA from 1 species